GCCAGGGAUUUCAGGAGUAACAAGGCACAAUCUCAAGAGGAGCCCUUUCUGGGGAUUGUGAUAGAACAGAGUGAUGGAGCUGUGUUGCUUUGUGUUUCAGGGAAGGAUGAUGAAAUCCUACCUCCAGCUGUGGCCAUCUUUUCCCCAUCAAAGCAGGAGAUCCAGCAGAAGAGCAAGGCCACGCUGGUGUGCCUGGCCUCUGGCUUCUACCCUGACCACCUGACUCUGGCCUGGAGGGUGAAUGGUGUGAGAAGGACCGAGGGGGUGGGGACAGAUGAGUCCUCCACACAGAAUGGGAGCACCUACUCGCUGACCAGCCGACUGAGGAUGCCAGCCUGGGAAUGGUUCAACCCUUUGAAUCGCUUUGAGUGUGUUGCCUAUUUCUUUCACAAUGGAACAACACAGUCAAUAAACAAAUUUAUCUAUGGUGAUGCUGGCUGUGCACUCACAGAAGGUACGUGUGUCUUCUCACAUAAGGAGAAUUUUGCCUCUUCUCUCAGGCAAUUAUCUGUGUGUAUUUUAAUUCCAGCUUUACUGACACUAAGCACAACGUGUGGGAGAUAUCUGCUGUAUGAAUAGCUUCUUCUUUCUCCUCUAAGUGAUUUGUAUGUGAUAGUAAAAAUGAAAAAACAAAAAAAGGAAGAAAAGUUUUUUGGAGGGUUCUUUGUGCAUGUUAUAUGUAGCUCUGCUUUGGGCUUUUGCUCUCCCAUAUGAUUCCAUUUUGAAAAUAGAAGAAAUCAUGUUACCUUCCUGUAGAUUAGAACUUAUUCUUUAUCAUUUCCUCCAGUCGUAGAAGCUGACCUCCAAUGGGAAUAUUCUUACUCGGCCAGGAAAGAAAUGAUCCAUACUUAUCCAAGUGAUUCUGUCAUCAGGGUUCAGGAUAUGAUAUUUCUUAGUGUCAAGUUUCCCUUCCCGAGUCACAUUCCCUUCUACACUGCUGUCAUAUGUGGAGGAUACUCAUAUUAAAAAUUACAUUUCUUUUCUCUUUGUAUACAUAUUUGCACACUCCUAUUUUUCAACAACUUCUUUAAUGCUUGAGGAAUCUUAAGGCUGAGCUAAGACAGAGCUGGUAUCUCAGUCCUAUGACAACCCCUUAAGAGUGAAAAAUCUACAAGAAUAAAACUUGUAGAAGCCGUGUUAUUCUGACUUUCCUGACACAUCAGCAGCACUUGUAAGGCCACUGACAAUAAUGAGACAAAAUAAAAAAUGUGCAUCUUGUGAUUCAGCCUAUUUUGCAUUCCUAAGAGGGGAUUUGGAUGAACAGCCCAGUUCAUCAGUAGAUGUGGCAACUCAGCACUUUCCUGGCAUGAAGGCAAUCUCUGUCUUUCCUAGACUUGCUUUCUCUUUUGGUUCUUUGAGUCACUAUGGUCUGUUGCAUUCCCUGUUUCCUGGCGCCAACUGAGCCACUCAUUUGGCUCUAGUUCCUUUCUGUGUCUUAGCUAAAGAUUUCAAGGGUUCUCAUUUGAUGACAGCUCCAU